rnacentral:rRNA from 1 species
AGAAUCAACGCUGGCGGCGCGCUUAACACAUGCAAGUCGAACGAGAAAGUCCGCAAGGAUGAGUAAAGUGGCGUACGGGUGAGUAACACGUGGAUAAUCCACCUCUUAGUGGGGAAUAACUUUGGGAAACCGAAGCUAAUACCGCAUGAGCCUGAGAAGGGAAAGCAAGCAAUUGCGCUGAGAGAGGAGUCCGCGGCCGAUUAGCUAGUUGGUAGGGUAAUGGCCUACCAAGGCGAUGAUCGGUA